AUCGCUUCUCGGCCUUUGGGCUAAGAUCAAGUGUAGUAUCUGUUCUUAUCAGUUUAAAAUGCCCCAAAAUAAGAAAGUCCUAACUUUUAGUUUUUAGAUAUUUAUAUCAUGGGUUAAGAAACUUUAUACUUCAAUACUGAAUUAUU
rnacentral:snRNA from 1 species